UUGAGGUAUUUUAACUCCCCCCUGUUACUCCGGCGCUGGAAAAGGAAAGGGGUGGGGAAGAGAAGGGCAGAGGAUGAGCCAAAAUUCACUGGGAAGGAUUUGUUCUGCCUCCGAAACAAGAAUUCUAAAUUCACAUCCCGCUGAUUAAUCUGUUUCAAGCCCAUUACAUGUGGCAUAAAAUUUGGGGGUUCCUUGUUAAAAUCAACAAAAUAAAGGGGAUUAUCUUGAACUUCUCAGCACGACACAGCUGGCAGUGCGGCUAGCGAGGUACUACUGUACUCAGCAGCUGUGAGGAAAACAAGAAAGGUGACAUCCCUGACCACAGCUUUACAGUUCUCCAAACUGGCUUGUGUACCGAGCAGUUUUCCAAAAAGCUGCAUAAAAUGUGAGGAUUCUCACCAGGAAGCAGAGAGUCCCUGAAACAAACAAGAGAUACACACGCUAUAGCUGAGAUGCAGCGCCGUCAAGAGCACCUGUGCUCAGCCAGCAGUUGACUCAGCCAUGGCCCGAGUCAAAGGUGGGUUGAUAUGUCAGGGGACUGGCAGAUAUCUAGUGUGAGGCUCAUUUUGACACUUAUUCAUUAGGUGCAUCACUUGUCCACUCUCAGCACCUGUUUCCUCAUCCUAAAAGAGGCAGGAGGUAACCCACCCUGCCUAUUUCCCUGAGUGAUCCUUUAGGAUUUGUAAAAGCACUUGGAAGCAAUUUAAAGAAUAAGACACGACAAAACUGAGGUAGUUGAGGCUGUUCUAGACCUGAGACAUGUAGAAAUACAGAGAAAACAAAGAGGAGGUCACAGAAAGCAUCAAGCAGGCCAUCAGAAGCCCCCGAGUAUGAUGUGGCAGCUCUGUAGCAACCGUGGACCAGGAAAGGACGACAUGCACAAAUGAUGACAAAUAGCACAUUCAGCAUCUUGGAAGAUAAAUGUGUGAAUUUAACAGAUCAAAUGAUCUACCAGCUGGGAUAUUAGGAGAUUGUUUCUUGUUAGGAAUAAAUAUUGAUUGAACUGAUUUAGCAAACGCCUAAUAUAUGAAGACUGUAAUGCCAAGUCUGCCUCUCAGACCAAUUUAACAUCUUUUACAUUGCAGUCAUGUCUGUCUACCCUUCAGCUUUAGAGAUCAAAUUCACUUUCUUCUGCAGUGUUUUGACAAUUGAAAGUCUCCAGUUGGGUUAUUAAUUUCAGCCCUAUUUGAUCUCUGAGGAUUCAGCCAGCAGCUACUCUCCCAUCCUCAAAUUACAUGACAGUUAUACUUUUAUUUCUUCAGAACUUUUGCAAAUUUAAUGAGUGUUAAAUGCCAACAUUACUUUAAAUUUUCUCUGAGCCUUAGUGGAGGUGCAUAUGCAGGAUAGAUAUAAUCAAGGCUAACAGUGUUCCAUACGCCAG
rnacentral:lncRNA from 1 species